GAAAGCCGCGUGCUGUGAACAGAGCUUGGAGAACACUUUACUGUACUAGUAAUCAGCUGAUUUUACGACAGAAUAAUGGCACUGGCAGCAGAAAAUAGACACGAGGCCCCACAGGAGUGUCCUGUGUGCUUCGAAAAUGUUUUGCUUGCAAAACGCACUCUAAGCUGCAGGCACGUCUUUUGCCAGGACUGCCUGAGUAAAAUAAUGGUAGUCGCCCGGAGUCGAGGAUCCAUCAUUUGUCCACUCUGCCGUCAAGCCACUUAUCUUAACAAAGAGAACCAAGCUGGAGAGACCCUGGCUGCAGAUGUGGACACCACACAGGAGGUGGCUCUUCCUCUCUCGAUGGGGUAUCUUGUGAUGGCGUCGAGGGCCUCCAUAGUCGGUUUGUUGCAUGGAGGAAAUUGGAUGAUGCAUCAUUUGAGGAGACUUUCUCGCCGAACCAGCGAGCAAACGGUCACCUACAGGAAUGGGUCUCAGGUUUUUAUAAUUAGCGACCAAGUGAGACCAACGACAUGCAGCGAUACUGCUGUCGGUAUUCCUGAGGCUGAACCUCCGGAGUGUACGGAGUGUCGGGUCACCAAAUCCGACUGUAUUUGCCUGGUAGUAGUGAUUUGUUUGAUCGCACUGGUGUUGCUUCUGGUGAGGCACCUAUGAGGAUGUGCAGACUCCAACAUCCAUUCUCAGGACUGACACGUUGCCUCACUUUGUGAUAACGAUGCAUCAAUCCAGUCUCCUUUCAGAGGACCUGUGAAUGGGAAGCCCCACAACGAGCUGCUAUCAGGAAAACCGACGAUUAUUUAUUAUGUGUAUAUUAUGUUUUAUAUUUUAUAGUUUGACUUUUUCCAGUAAUGACUGGAAAAAGGAGGAAAAAUGUUUAGAAUGUUUCUUUUCAUUGUUUUAUGAAUCACUGUGGCCAACAACGUAAUUUUGAAAACUACAGAGUCACUUUAUAAAUAAGCAUUGCUGCACUUUGUAUUUUAUAUAUUGCUUGUUUAUACUUUUCUACAGUUGGUCAAGACUAAAGAUUUUAGAACUCCUGUUUUGUGUGUUUAUACGAUGUUAUAAAUACAAACAAUAAUAAUUUGCAUAAAUGGCUUAUGCAAAGAAGAAGUUACACACACACACACACACACACACACACACACACACACACACACUUUAAUCAAAGCUGUCUGUGUGUCUAUACACAAUACACACACCUGUAGUCAAUCAUUUUCAGUUUGGUACCCUGCACCCCUAAUCUGAUUAGUUGGAUUAACCAUUGUAGUGUCUAAUGAAUAAUCACAGAUUUUAAUAUAAUGCAACAGUUUUAUAGGAAUUUGUAUUUAUUUUUACCAUCUCCACUAUUCUUCAUGGCAGUGGUUAAAACUUCAGUCAUCACAGAAAACAUCACACCUCAAAACCACCUAAGCCACAGCCACCAGAUGUCUAACUCCUGUUGGGACAGAUUAUUAAACUUUGGAUGGCUUUGAGGCAACUUGUGAUUUGGUGCUAUAUGAAUAAUACUGAAUUGGAUGCACAUAGUUCUGCACCUAGAAAAAUGAAGUUGAUCAAAUAUUUCCAAUAGUAAGCAGAGUAACUCUUGUGCCUACAAACACAACUCGCUUGUAUAGAAGUCUA